AAGUAGUACACCCGAUGUUGCGGAGAGGCAUCUGGAUGAGGCAAGCUAUCUCUGCAUGUCAGAAAAUGCAACGCAAAGCAUCCCAAAGACAACCACUGUCACAGAGCAGACUGUUGCCACCACCACUACUCCACUACAGAUGGAAGAUCUUUUGGGGUCUGACGGUGCCACUCACUUUACCUUCAGCACAGUAACCGACCGACACUGAAGGUCUAGGCGUCCCAACUCUGCCAGCUGAAGCACCUUCACAGCCAAGUCCACCACCAAAUUUAUACUCAGUCAUAUUUGAAAACCUGGACUUCUUCUGCCGCACGCACCACCAGUCAGUCAGCCGGACAAACAAAUCAAUACAUUGGAUUCACCACAUGGCUGUGGAAGACAGAGUCUCAUCAACCCAUCUGGACAGACACAAGCCAACUCGAGUGUUGAGCGACUACGACAUGGGGAAAUCCUUACCCUCUUAUGACUCCCAGGUCCUAAUUCGUCGUGAUUAUGUCAUCCUGGGAAGCAGAAUCCUGACUGAAUUCCUCCAAGCCUUCAAGCCGCUAGCUUCAGUUGUGAUUAAUCACAUCCCUCAUCGGUAUUCUGCUGAAAUGUCAGAGCCUUCCACCCACCACCCCCUUGGACUUCUGUUCAAGGAUGAGAACCAAUCUGCAGAGUUGGCUGAUGUUCUACACCACAUCCAGAACGAGUACGUUCCAAGGGGCCCUGAUGGACCAGACAGCAUUUUGGUUGGUGGUGACCGAUUGACGGAGGGGAAUAGCCGCGGCAUACAGUGGGUCUAUGCGGAAGGGGAAAACGCAGACCAACGACUGGAGGGCCUUGUGUUCAAAUUUGAGGAUUGGCAUGCAAUCAAAAACCUUUUUGAGGUGAGUGACCUAACUAGGGCAAUACAGCAAAUGUUUGAAGGACAUCUGUACCCUUGCAUAACAUCAUGCUUAUUAAGAAUUGU